rnacentral:rRNA from 1 species
GAUGAACGCUGGCGGCGUGCUUAACACAUGCGAGUCGAACGGAAAGGCCCUUCCUUGCUGGGGUGCUCGAGUGGCGAACGGGUGAGUAACACGUGAGUGAUCUGCCCUGGACUUUGGGAUAACCUCAGGAAACUGGGGCUAAUACCGGAUAGGAGCUCCGGCUGCAUGGUGUGGGGGGGAAAUUUUCGGCGGGGGGUGAUGGACCCGCGGCUUAGCUUCUUGUUGGGGGGGUGGUGGCUUACCACGGCGUCGGGGGGUCGCCGUACUGAGAGGGUCACCGGCCACAUUGGGAGUGAGAUACGGCCCAGUCUCAUACGGGGGAGAGCAGGGGGAAAUAUUGCACAGUGGGCGAGAGCGUGAUGCAGCCGCGCCGCGUGCGGGAUGACGGCUUUCGGUUUGUAAACCGCUUUCGCGUGUGAAGGCGCGUGAGUGACGGUAAUGGGUAAAGAAGCACCGGCUAACUACGUG